rnacentral:lncRNA from 1 species
GGGUAACAAACCAAAACUGAGGGAAACGCAUUAAAUAUAAGAGGAGAACAACGACACAACAUUAAAAUGUAACACACACAGAAACAGACUAAGCAUUAGACAAAAUCCGAUGAGAAUAACAAAUAUAACAUCAAAACCAAAUACAUGAAUUUGGGAUAGAAAAGUACCGUGACACGUCUUAUAGUAAUGUGAAUUCACACUAAAAUAUAAGAGAAAACAAACGACACAACGGAAACACAACGUAAAAAUAUUACACACAC